AUGAUCGCUUUGCAUUGUUUGAAACCGAGUCAGUCAUCUAGGUGUGCAAUUCCAAAGGAAAUUGUUAAAUGGACUCCACCGCCAGCUGGCUUGCUUUGCCUUAACGUGGAUGCAGCAAUAUUCUCAUCUUCAUCGAGUUCGGCAGUUGGUGUAGUGGUGCGGGAUCAUCUGGGCAAAUGUCUGAUGGGCUGUCAUUAGUCUUUUCAUGGCAUCACUAUGCCGGAGAUUGCAGAAGCUUUGGCACUCUGUUGUGUUGUAUCUCUUGCACUCGAUGAAGGUCUCCAUAAGGUGAUCAUGCAAUCUGAUUGCUUGUUGUUGAUCAAGAAAGUGAAUGCUACUGAGAAGGACCAUUUCAUCACAGGACAUUUUGUAGCUGAUAUAAAAUGUUUAGUUCAAAACUUUGUUUCUAUUUCAUUUCAUCAUGUAAGUCGUUCCGCUAAUGGUGUUGCUCAUCUAUUUGCAAGGGAGAGCAAGCCUGUUGCUUACUCGACUUUCCAUCGGUGUAUUCCUGCUUGUAUACAGGAGGUUGUAAACUCUGAUAUUUGUAUUAAUGUAUAA
rnacentral:rRNA from 1 species